UUCCUGACGUUACAACGUUUACAACUUGAAGCAAAACAGAAUCCUUGAGUUACAGUACUUUAAAGUUGGUAAAAUGUUGCGAAUUAUUUUGGCAUUUUGUUUGUGUUUUCAAGCAGUCAUCAUUUCAGCUGACACAGCGGAAGGGCAACCUGAAUGUGUUCCUGAUCAACCAUGGUGUAUCGGAAUCGAAAAGCGCUAUUGUAAUACUUUCAGCCUUUAUAAUACAACCUGUCCUUAUGAGUGCGGUGUAUGCAGGGCUGAAUGUGAUCCUGAUGAAACAUGGUGUAGUCAAAUCGGAAAACUCGAAUGUAAUAGCUCCAUACGCGUUAAAAAAUACUGUCCUUAUGAAUGCGGUGUAUGCCAGGGUAAUUGUGCUCCUGAUAAAACAUGGUGUAGUCGAAUCGACAAAAUGUAUUGUGAUAGCUCCAGAGGCGUUAAAAUAAACUGUCGUUAUAAGUGCGGUGUAUGCAAGGGCAAGGCCGAUUAAUUCACCAGAUGAUGUGUGUGAACAACUCCAAGCUGUCUUAUGUUUGUCUCGGAGCAUAAAUUAUCAUAAAUAUAUUCUUAUUACUAAAUUUUAAAUUUCAAUCAGUAUUUCUUUUAUUCAAAAUGUAUAUCUAUCCUAUAUUAAAGUUACAAAAGGACAUUAUUAUAUAAAUUUCAACUAAUAACCAAUGACUGU